rnacentral:lncRNA from 1 species
AGUAGAAGUAGGGGUAGGUGGGGCAGGGAUGCAUUCUAGGGACUACCCAGCUAGGGGCCGGACCUGGAGAGUAUUGUCAGUGGGUGGAAAGGACUCCCCACAUACACAACUUUCCUGGGCCUCCCAAUCACAGGUGGGGAAAGGGGGCUAUAUUAGUCUUAGAGACAGGUGGACUUGUGGCCUUCUUUGCCAGGAGGGGGUUGGAAAUGUCCCAGUUUCCCUGGUCUGAACCCCUAGAAAAACUGCAGGGAGUAAAAGAGGGGGUGCUUCUCCCUGAAAUCAAAACAGCAACCCUGACAGCCCUCCCAGCCUCCACCCUAUGAGAGCAGAUGUUUGAGAGGCACUGCAGGGAGUAGAAGCCUCAUUACACAAACACACGUGCGCACACACACACACACACACACACACAUGUGCGUGCAUAUACACCACCCCCCAGCUCAGUCAUUUGUCUUGUUGGGGGCCUAGAAAGAGACACACAGACAAGGGGUCUGCUGCAGAAAAUGCUACACAGCCCCUUGCUCUGCCAAAGCAGCUCAAGACUAACGAAUCUCAGCUGUUCUCCGAAAUCAGAAAUGAGCGCCGGUGAAUGCUCCCACAGACUCGUGUAUGUGUGUGUGUGUGUGUGUGUGUGUGUGUGUGCGUGUGUGUCCCAAUUCAGACUGCUCUUCCUCCCCAUUCACUGUGAGGAUGGAUAUAAUCUUAUUUUUGUCUCUUGCUCCCCUAACACCAGGGAAUUCACUUGCUGAGUUUUCUCGUGUGUUGUAGGAACCACCGCACUGUGUGGCCUCUGGGUUCUCAUCUCUGUGUAAACAAACACGGGCUCGCACGAGCAGAGCAGGAUCUCCACUCCCUCCUGCCGCAGUAGGUCCCGAGGUCGGCCGACUGUCCGCUUAGCAAGAGGGCAGGGACACUCAGCUGCCAAGGGGUGCUGCUGGCAACCUCGGCCUUGGCAGUCCGGGAGAAGGGGAGUAAGAAGAACAACGGGAAGCUCUGAGCCUUGGGGGGUUCAGGGAGAACUCCCCCACCUUCAUCUCCAUCUUCAGAUCAGGACACAGGCCUGGACACCUGGAAUCCUUCAGCCCCUGUUAAAGGCUCUGCAUCCCAACCAGCAUUCCUCCAGAGGUCAGCCCUACAGAGCUGGAGGCCCCGGGAGGCAAGUGUCUUGGCUGCCACAGACAUACUGGGCAAGACGGGUGCCCAACUUUCCCUCUCCAGGCUGCCAUUUCCCUAACUGCAAGGUGGGGGAGCUGGACCCAGUGAUUUCUACCAUUGCUUCCAGCUCUGCUGUACUGCAGACACCUCAUCUGGGUGGGGUCAGCCAGGCAGGGCUCCGGGCAUGCUGAUGCCUGGAAGGGGUACAGAGUGAGUGGGUGAGGGGCUGAGGAAGCCACCCCACCCCCAGCUGUGGUUUCUGGUGGGGCCACCCUGGCAGCAGGUGGAGGGAAGUGUUUGUCACCCUUCCAACAAAGCAGUAAAACAAAAGCCUCCCAAGGCACUAUGGGAGCAGGCGGCAAAGGCGCCAAAAAGGCCAAAAAUAAAACACACCUUUCCUUUGAUAGACACCAGCAGCUGCCGAGGGGCCUGGCCUGGGGGUGGUGAGGAAAAGCUUAGAUUUCGUGCCUGAGAGCGCGCCCCAACACACUGACAUAUACAAGUACACACAUAUACACAUAUACAAGUUGCACAUACUCAUAUCCACAACCAGCUUCACCAGCCUGAGACCUGUGCCGUCCCAUGGAGCCUGCAUUCAGAAAGGACCCACGCUUGAUUCAAUACUCAGUUGUCUCCAUCUUGAACUUCUUAAUAACUUUUGAACAAGAGGUUCAACAUUUUCAUUUUGCACUGGACCCUACAAAUUCUGCACCAGCCCCCACCAGUGUACAUUCAUAAGUACGUACAUUCACAAUAUGCCUAAGACAUACACAGCAUCUACAUGCAAGAGUGUGUAUACUGCACACACACACACGAAAGUGUACAAAAGUACAAAUAUGUGCACACACCCCCAUCCAUGUACAGCAAUAGUCCCUUCAUCCCACUGCACACUCACUGCACACACACAUGACCCAAAGGACCAUGAAUGCUCACUAGUAGCACUCAGACACCUGCAGUUCACCCACAGUCUGAGGGGUACAGUUUGAUUACCUCAACAUUGGAAGGCAGCAGAACAAAGCUCUGGGGAAGGAGCAUGACAAUUUCCUCUGUUCCCUAGAAUCCCCAACAGCUAGAGCUGGCUUCUCUCAUCAGACUGAGACCAGCAGCUGGGACCAGAAGAAAGGUAUAGCUUGGGAAGUGGAAGGAU